rnacentral:rRNA from 1 species
GAUGAACGCUGGCGGCGUGCCUAAUACAUGCAAGUCGAGCGAACAGACGAGGAGCUUGCUCCUCUGACGUUAGCGGCGGACGGGUGAGUAACACGUGGAUAACCUACCUAUAAGACUGGGAUAACUUCGGGAAACCGGAGCUAAUACCGGAUAACAUGUUGAACCGCAUGGUUCAACAGUGAAAGACGGUCUUGCUGUCACUUAUAGAAGGAUCCGCGCCGCAUUAGCUAGUUGGUAAGGUAACGGCUUACCAAGGCAACGAUGCGUAGCCGACCUGAGAGGGUGAUCGGCCACACUGGAACUGAGACACGGUCCAGACUCCUACGGGAGGCAGCAGUAGGGAAUCUUCCGCAAUGGGCGAAAGCCUGACGGAGCAACGCCGCGUGAGUGAAGAAGGUCUUCGGAUCGUAAAACUCUGUUAUUAGGGAAGAACAAAUGUGUAAGUAACUAUGCACGUCUUGACGGUACCUAAUCAGAAAGCCACGGCUAACUACGUG